rnacentral:misc_RNA from 1 species
CACUCUCCCUUCGUUGCGCUUGCCUACGUCACUCGUACCUACGGGCCAGGUAGUACUUCUGAGAUUGUUCCCUACUUCUCCUCUUUCUCUCCGAGACAUCCUUCAGCGUUUCGUGCGGCAUACAGCGACAAGAGCGCCUGUUCCUUGCCAGGAUCCCCUCUUCCCAGUUCUUCUAGCGAAAGCUUGGGAGCGUAACGGCAGUGCUUGCUCAAGAGGGAGAAGUGCUCGCAGCAUAGCCUCCCCCCUCCAACACCUCUCUUUCUGCGUGCACCCUCCCUUGAGUACGAACGGAAUUCCCCCAUCGUUACACAGUCUUUCUCCUAGGCCGACGUGGAGCGGACGGAAACAGGGGCGGCGCCGAUUGUUAGUGCCGCAACCGUCGCUGCUUCUCGCCGUGGGACCGACUUUGGUGUGUAGCAGAGAGGCACGCGCACGGCCUUUCGAAGGCCGUCCCUCGCCCCGUUCGCGUGCGUCGCUCUGCCUUCAUCCACUUCAUUUCUCUGCGCCGCGUUUGCUGCCCUUCUUGUUUUCUCAAUCAG